rnacentral:rRNA from 1 species
GAUGAACGCUGGCGGCGUGCCUAAUACAUGCAAGUCGAGCGAACAGACGAGGAGCUUGCUCCUCUGACGUUAGCGGCGGACGGGUGAGUAACACGUGGAUAACCUACCUAUAAGACUGGGAUAACUUCGGGAAACCGGAGCUAAUACCGGAUAAUAUAUUGAACCGCAUGGUUCAAUAGUGAAAGACGGUUUUGCUGUCACUUAUAGAUGGAUCCGCGCCGCAUUAGCUAGUUGGUAAGGUAACGGCUUACCAAGGCAACGAUGCGUAGCCGACCUGAGAGGGUGAUCGGCCGCACUGGAACUGAGACACGGUCCAGACUCCUACGGGAGGCAGCAGUAGGGAAUCUUCCGCAAUGGGCGAAAGCCUGACGGAGCAGCGCCGCGUGAGUGAUGAAGGUCUUCGGAUCGUAAAACUCUGUUAUUAGGGAAGAACAAAUGUGUAAGUAACUAUGCACGUCUUGACGGUACCUAAUCAGAAAGCCACGGCUAACUACGUG